rnacentral:rRNA from 1 species
AUUGAACGCUGGCGGCAGGCCUAACACAUGCAAGUCGAACGAGUGGCGGACGGGUGAGUAAUGUAUGGGAAACUGCCUGAUGGAGGGGGAUAACUACUGGAAACGGUAGCUAAUACCGCAUACUAUCAGAUGUGCCCAUAUGGGAUUAGCUAGUUGGUGGGGUAACGGCUCACCAAGGCGACGAUGCCUAGCUGAUCUGAGAGGGUGACCAGCCACACUGGAACUGAGACACGGUCCAGACUCCUACGGGAGGCAGCAGUGGGGAAUAUUGCACAAUGGGCGCAAGUCUGAUCCAGCCAUGCCGCGUGUAUGAAGAAGGCCUUCGGGUUGUAAAGUACUUUCAUCGGAGAGGCGUUACCCGCAGAAGAAGCACCGGCUAACUCCGUGCCAGCAGCCGCGGUAAUUC